CCAAUUGGACAAAGAUAUCAUUCGAGUAUCUUCUUCAAAUGAGUUUUAAAGAUUUCUCCUUGUAUAUUAAUUUCGACCACAGUAACUUCGGAUUGGGUCCAAAUUGCUUAUAAAGACAUGAUCUUGCCACAUUUUGGCAUACUGAGGCUUGGCGCGUACUGCUUCUUCUCGUGCAACCUUUGCUGUUAAUACCGUUUGUUCAACAGCUUACAAUCACCAGCAUCAUCAUGAAACGAUUCAUCGUUUAGCUGCUGCUUUCCGCCAUUGCAGUUCAACAAAUCAGUGGCGAUCCAGGCGCGGACACCAAAGAGGGAGGGAGAGUGGUUCGCUAUCCGCACUACUGUGGCGCGGCUCUU